UGCAGUUGCUUUUGGUAUUUUAGUCAUGAAGUCUUUGUCCAUGCCUAUGUCCUGAAUGGUAUUGCCUAGGUUUUCUUCUAGGAUUUUUAUGGUUUUAGGUCUUAUGUUUAAGUCUUUAAUCCACCUUGAGUUCCUUUUUGUAUAAGGUGUUGGGAAGGGAUCUAGUUUGAGGUUUUUGUAUAUGGCUAGCCAGUUUUCCCAAUGCUAUUUAUUAAAUAUGAAAUCCUUUCCCGAUUGUUUGUU